rnacentral:tRNA from 1 species
GGAGAAGUACUCAAGUGGUCGAAGAGACGCCCCUGCUAAGGGCGUAGGUCGGGAAACCGGCGCGGGGGUUCAAAUCCCCCCUUCUCCG